UCCUUGGCCAUUCAAUGGUUAGGACUCAGCACUUUGACUGCUUGGGCCUGGGUUCAAUCCCCAGCCAGGGAA
rnacentral:tRNA from 1 species